rnacentral:rRNA from 1 species
GACGAACGCUGGCGGCGUGCUUAACACAUGCAAGUCGAACGGUAAGGCCCUUCGGGGUACACGAGUGGCGAACGGGUGAGUAACACGUGGGCGAUCUGCCCUGCACUUCGGGAUAAGCCUGGGAAACUGGGUCUAAUACCGGAUAGGACCACUGCCUGCAUGGGUGGUGGUGGAAAGCUUUUGCGGUGUGGGAUGGGCCCGCGGCCUAUCAGCUUGUUGGUGGGGUGAUGGCCUACCAAGGCGACGACGGGUAGCCGGCCUGAGAGGGUGACCGGCCACACUGGACUGAGAUACGGCCCAGACUCCUACGGGAGGCAGCAGUGGGGAAUAUUGCACAAUGGGCGCAAGCCUGAUGCAGCGACGCCGCGUGAGGGAUGACGGCCUUCGGGUUGUAAACCUCUUUCAGCACCGACGAAGCGCAAGUGACGGUAGGUGCAGAAGAAGGACCGGCCAACUACGUGCCAGCAGCCGCGGUAA